AUGAACACCUACGGGUUCCGCCUCCUUGACUUCACCCCCAAUGCUGUUCUGACCAUGGCAGUUUUCGCACAUCUCUGCGAAAACUUUGUCAGAGUCUAUCCAAACGUAGCUCUUUUCCGCCACUUCUUUAUGCCCCGAGUUGAGAGAGGGGAGCCUUUAUCUGGCGGAAUCGCCUGGAUCUCGAGAGCUGGCAAGAAGGAAGCUUAUCUGGAGGGAGAGCUCCGCAGCAAGUGGGAGGAAUGGAGAGCAGAAUGGUGCUGGAUUGUCAAGGAGAACCCGCAGCCAUUUACCGCCCAGUGCCAAGCCCCAAUAGCGCGCGGCAACGAUUGGAGCAACGUGGCCCCGAAAGACGAUAGGCUGAAGAUUGCCGUCACCCGGAUCCUACGCCUCAGGAUUGCCGGGCUCACCGUAGGCGCCGUUGGCGCAGAUUUUCUUCGCCGCCGCAUCGCCCCCCUGCAGGAAAGGAGGAGACCUGCCUGGGAGUUCCAGAACACGGCAGAUAUCAUGAGGCUGCGCCUGGGCCUCAACUUCAACUUCACUGUCCUCGAACUGGACGUGAUGAUCCUGGAACUGUUCUAG
rnacentral:rRNA from 1 species